ensembl:misc_RNA Y_RNA Y RNA
GGCUGGUCUGAAGGCAGUGAGUUAUCUCAACUGCUUGCUCACUGUCAGUUACAGAUUGAAAUCCUUGUUCUACUCUUUCCCCCUUCUCACUACUGUACUUGAAUAGCCUUAU